AACGUAGGAGACAAACGUUAUCCGGAGUUACUGGGCGUAAAGGGCGUGCAGGUGGUCUGUUAAGUCUGGCGUGAAAGCUCCUGGCUAAACCGGGAGAGGUCGUUGGAUACUGGCGGACUAGAGGACGGUAGAGGCGUGUGGAAUUCCGGGUGUAGUGGUGAAAUGCGUAGAGAUCCGGAGGAACACCAGUGGCGAAGGCGACACGCUGGGCCGUACCUGACACUGAUACGCGAAAGCAUGGGGAGCGAACGGG
rnacentral:rRNA from 1 species